rnacentral:rRNA from 1 species
UACGAAGGGGGCUAGCGUUGCCCGGAAUCACUGGGCGUAAAGCGCACGUAGGCGGAUCGUUAAGUCAGGGGUGAAAUCCUGGAGCUCAACUCCAGAACUGCCUUUGAUACUGGCGACCUUGAGUCCGGGAGAGGUGAGUGGAACUGCGAGUGUAGAGGUGAAAUUCGUAGAUAUCGUAAGGAAGACCAGUGGCGAAGGCGGGUCUCUGGUACGUGACUGACGCUGAGACGCGAAAGCGUGGGGAGCGAACAGG